rnacentral:rRNA from 1 species
UACGUAGGUGGCAAGCGUUGUCCGGAUUUACUGGGCGUAAAGGGCGUGCAGGCGGUCUGUUAAGUCUAGGGUGAAAAGCUCCCGGCUCAACUGGGAGAGGUCCUUGGAUACUGGCGGACUUGAGGGAGGUAGAGGAGAGUGGAAUUCCCGGUGUAGUGGUGAUAUGCGUAGAUAUCGGGAGGAACACCAGUGGCGAAGGCGGCUCUCUGGGGCCUUUUCCUGACGCUGAGACGCGGAAAAGCGUGGGGGAGCAACCGG